GAGUUUGCAGUCAACCAAGGCCGACUCAGAAUCACUCCCACCGGGAAGAUCUGUGAAGGAAGGUCCACCCGGCUGGUCCAGAAGCUCCGGUCCAGCAGAGCAGCGUCAGGAUGGAGACGUAACCGGUGUUGAUGUUACCGCCUUGACGAAUAGAAGAAAAGCCUGUAUUUGGGUAUGAAGGGCCGGUAGUCCAGAGGAACCACCCUUGAACUCCAGUCCAGUGACACUCCACUCCACACCACAGACCACAACCUUUCCACUCCACAAUCACCCUCCACAAGGUUCCCAGCGGGGAUUCGAACCAUGCCCGUCCACAUGACAGACAUACACCCUCUGUGUGAGCUAUCUUUCACACAAGGUCCCUGGUGGAGUUUGUUGUAAUGAUGGUUGCAAGAGGUGUCAUGCAGCCAAAGUUUAAAAAGAGCCUUGAGCUGGAUUCAAACCAAGGACCUCCUGGAUGAGAGGCAGAUAACUUACCACUGCACUAUCCUUCCUACUGGGUAUAGCUGUUAGUUUUCGUAAAUGAUGGUACACAAAAGUAUUAAGGAAGUGAAGAUAAUAAAGGUACUAAGGUGGAUUUGAGAGGCAAAAAACUUACCCCUACACCAGGUGUCCUACAAGAUGUUGCUCUAACUUUGCUUAAAUGAUGCUAUCAAUUAGUACUGGCGCAACCAAACAACAAAUAAAAGGUGUGAGUGGAGAUCUGAAUCAUGCGAGGUUGUUUCUGACACUGAAUACACCCAAUCUCAUCUGAUCUGCAAAGCUAAGCAGGGUUGGGCCAGGUUAGUAUUUGGAUGGGAGACUACCUGGGAAUACCAGGUGCUGUAAGCUUUUUACUUCUCCUCACAACCUCAGCAAGACACUGCUGGUCAUUCACUAGAGACAGCUAUCAACUAAAACCUCUUGGUUUCUUUAUUAUACACUCUAUGAGGUGGAUAAGCUGCAGCUCAUGCUGAUUUAUUGCUGGUUCUGGUUGGAGCCAAAGAACAAACGCGUCACCUGUUGGAGCAGCUGAUGUCCUGCAGCCUCUUCACCACAGAAAGCCUCUGACAGCUUCAAUUCUUUACACUCCGACUGCACGACACCAAUCACAUAGGAACAUUUACAUGUAUGGAACAAAGAGCUGAGCUGACACUCAACAUGUGUUUGAGCAUUUAUUGAUAAAGACAUUCAAACAUGUCUAGAGAUAGAACACCAAUGCACGGUAUAAGAAAGGUCAGAACAGACUUCACCUGCUCAGGAAACUGAGGUCCUUCGGGGUGCAGGGAGCAAUUCUGAGGACCUUUUAUGGUUGUGUGGUGGUAUCAGCCAUCCUGUAUGGACUGGUCUGCUGGAGCAGCAGCAUCACGGCUGCAGACAGGAAGAGACUAAAGAAACUGGUUAAGAAAGCAAGCUCUGUCCUGGGCUGGUGGUAGACAGGAGGAUGAUGACAAAGCUGUUGUCUAUCAUGGAGGACAUCUCCCACCCCCUGCAGGAAACAGGACCAUCACCGGCAGCUCCUUCAGGGACAGACUGCUUCACCCACGAUGUUUGAAGGAGGUCCUUCCUUCCUGCAGCAGUCAGACUGUGUUCAAUCAAGCCUGCUCCCAGUAGUUCAGAUCACCCAUGAAGUAACUGCAAUAAAAUGUAAAUAAGUCAAUAUGUGCAAUUUCACAGGUUUUUUUUUUUUAACAAGCAUUUCUAUUUCUUCUCUAAGGAGAAAGCAUCUAUUUAUAUCUGUGCACUGAGUGCUGCUUUUUUUUUUUUUUUUUUUACUUUUUUUCCUAUCUGCUACUGCCACACUGAAAAUUUCCCCACUGCAGGAUCACUGAAGGAUCUACCUAUCCAUCCAUCUAUCUAUGGUCCAUAUACCUACCUACCUACCUAUCCAUCCAUCCAUCCAUCCAUCUGCCUAUCUAUAUCCAUCUGUCCAUCCAUCCAUCCAUCUCUCUCACAGGUGUGGAGGUUGACUCGCCUGUUCUCAAUCACCUUAAUCCACGGACAACUUCAGCAUGUAAAACAUAAAUAAGCAAAGGCUGCAACUCGUGAUUAUUUUAAUUUUAACUUAACUUUAUGUGCUGUUCAAAAAACUUGUAAAACUUGCUCAAAAAAUCUGUAUCGACCCAGAAAAAAAACAAACAUGUCAGGCACCCUAUGAUGUUAACUGUUCGCCUGAAUGUUUUUGUUUAAAAUCCUCAGUAAUAACCUUUGGGAAAUCAACGAGAGGCGCAAAGUAUUAUAUCCCAUCAUGAAAGAACACAGACAGAAAGGUAAACGGACUGCACUGGUUGUGGACAAACUAUACAUAGAUGGGCAGAUAUUUCGGGAACCCUCCAUUACCCCCUGGCUCUUCUUUUAAAAAAAAAAAAAAAAAAAAAAAAAUGGCUUAAACGUUUAAUAUAUCACUUAGUCAUUUAUGUUAGAAAAUGUUAUAAAAAAAAUAAAUGUCACAGGUGUAAAUGUCUCACUCUCCUAACCUACACUCCCCACUGGAGAACCCCCUCCUCCUUCUACUUUUCUCCCUCUCCCUCUCUAUAUGUCUCCCUUUAGCCUUCUCCCCC
ensembl:lncRNA